UUUCAGGCACCCUAUGGGCGAAUGAAUUACCGGCCGCUAAUCGCCCUUAGAGUUUGAUCCUGGCUCAGGAUGAACGCUGGCGGCGUGCUUAACACAUGCAAGUCGAACGAAGCACCUUGAUUUGAUUCUUCGGAUGAAGAUCUUGGUGACUGAGUGGCGGACGGGUGAGUAACGCGUGGGUAACCUGCCUCAUACAGGGGGAUAACAGUUAGAAAUGACUGCUAAUACCGCAUAAGACCACAGCACCGCAUGGUGCAGGGGUAAAAACUCCGGUGGUAUGAGAUGGACCCGCGUCUGAUUAGGUAGUUGGUGGGGUAACGGCCUACCAAGCCAACGAUCAGUAGCCGACCUGAGAGGGUGACCGGCCACAUUGGGACUGAGACACGGCCCAAACUCCUACGGGAGGCAGCAGUGGGGAAUAUUGCACAAUGGGGGAAACCCUGAUGCAGCGACGCCGCGUGAGCGAUGAAGUAUUUCGGUAUGUAAAGCUCUAUCAGCAGGGAAGAAAAUGACGGUACCUGACUAAGAAGCACCGGCUAAAUACGUGCCAGCAGCCGCGGUAAUACGUAUGGUGCAAGCGUUAUCCGGAUUUACUGGGUGUAAAGGGAGCGUAGACGGAGUGGCAAGUCUGAUGUGAAAACCCGGGGCUCAACCCCGGGACUGCAUUGGAAACUGUCAAUCUAGAGUACCGGAGAGGUAAGCGGAAUUCCUAGUGUAGCGGUGAAAUGCGUAGAUAUUAGGAGGAACACCAGUGGCGAAGGCGGCUUACUGGACGGUAACUGACGUUGAGGCUCGAAAGCGUGGGGAGCAAACAGGAUUAGAUACNCUGGUAGUCCACGCCGUAAACGAUGACUACUAGGUGUCGGGCAGCAAAGCUGUUCGGUGCCGCAGCAAACGCAAUAAGUAGUCCACCUGGGGAGUACGUUCGCAAGAAUGAAACUCAAAGGAAUUGACGGGGACCCGCACAAGCGGUGGAGCAUGUGGUUUAAUUCGAAGCAACGCGAAGAACCUUACCUGCUCUUGACAUCUCCCUGACCGGCAAGUAAUGUUGCCUUUCCUUCGGGACAGGGAUGACAGGUGGUGCAUGGUUGUCGUCAGCUCGUGUCGUGAGAUGUUGGGUUAAGUCCCGCAACGAGCGCAACCCCUAUCUUUAGUAGCCAGCGGUUCGGCCGGGCACUCUAGAGAGACUGCCAGGGAUAACCUGGAGGAAGGUGGGGAUGACGUCAAAUCAUCAUGCCCCUUAUGAGCAGGGCUACACACGUGCUACAAUGGCGUAAACAAAGGGAGGCAGAACCGCGAGGUCGAGCAAAUCCCAAAAAUAACGUCUCAGUUCGGAUUGUAGUCUGCAACUCGACUACAUGAAGCUGGAAUCGCUAGUAAUCGCGAAUCAGAAUGUCGCGGUGAAUACGUUCCCGGGUCUAAGUACACACGGCCCGUCAAGGGCGAAUUCGUUUAAAAUAACACGACGGGCCCUUUAUGAGGUAAUUACUGCUAUCGCC
rnacentral:rRNA from 1 species